rnacentral:lncRNA from 1 species
CCAAAACCGGCCGGUCCGGUUCCAGUUCGGGCGGUUUCCGUUGCACACCCCUAAGGAGAAUUCUAGAAUUUGACUCAAUUACCGUAUCGCCAGCCCUUGGAAAGUUCCAAAAGAAGUCUUGUUGGGAAUCCUAGCGAUUGUAGGAGGUCCUUCGUGGAAAGGCGCGGCCCUUUUAGUUGCAAAAACCUCUUGGCCGUGACAUGUGCCUAUGAAAAAAAAUAGAUUAACAUAGAAAGACUCCUGGCAAGUUUUUGAGAUUGCCUGAAAAAAAAAAGGGGGAAAAUCACAUCGGGUGAUGAACACUCACUCACUGGCUAGUUGCCAUGCCUAGCCAAGCGCAACCACCUUGUGAACCCGACACCGCCACAGGUGGUCGAGUGGGCGGCAGAGAGACACAUUGGGCAACUGUGUAACACUUUCCUUUGCGCAUCUUACCCUCUCCUCAGCUUCAGGAAUAACAUUGAUCCUGGCGGUUCCCAUCCACAACUCUGCAUGGCAAAGUAUUUGUUGGCCAUGACUCCGCUGGUGCUCACCAUUGAACAGGCUCUGUUGAUUCAAAAACCAGAUUCAUGAUUGAUUUCAGGAGGCGGCUAAACUCGCAAGACUACAGCAUGCAGUCGGAGCGAACAUUUGGAUGGAGGACCAGAUUGCUAGUUUCAGGUUUCAACUAUCAUCUUCCAUAAAAAUUCCCAUCACCAUUUAUGACUUUACAAGUUGCGAAGGUUUCAAGCAGACUUCAAACCCUUUUGACAUCAGACCAUAUAUGCACUUACUUUAAACCACAGUUGGGGAAAACUAUGAGAAGAGCUCAGCUUCAUCACAAUGUGGUAAGGGAGCCCAAGCAGGAAAGCAUCAUCCAACAAAUAGGUCCAUCAUAAUAUCCCUUUUGCCCUUAGAAACUUGGAUGCUAUGACUCCAGUCUUGAGAGAGCCUAACACAUGGAACAUCAGAAAUGACAAUUGAAGAAAGUUGUACAGGAAACUAGUUAAUAAUACAUUCAGAAGAUAGCAUAAAGGGCAAUCAUUCGUCGCAUCUGCUCAUAAUGUAAUCAACAUAAGAGCAUGUUCCAUGGAACUAAACUAAUCCGCAAUCUCUUUGGAAUUAGUCACUAUCAAAUCCUUCUACCACAAACAAUGUGCCACUAUAAUCACUCAAAUUAUUAACCAUAAAAGAAGUGACUACCGUCCCCUUCCGCUCGAUAAGUUGGCCUCUUGUGGCAACUGUUCCCUGAAGAGGAUCCUCGGAAUCCAAUGACUCCAAGACACCAUCCUGGUGUUUCUUCCUCCAUUUUAACCACGACCUGCAGCAAGGUGGAAUCAUUUUCCUCCAUAGCUGAUGAUGGGGAUUCGGAUAACAGAAACUUGAUGAUAUAAUUGUACCUAGUCGAUUGCAUUGAUGUUCAGAUUCUUUUUGGAAAUGCCCCUCGGCUGCCUUUCCCUUGCAGCAGAUUACAGUCCAUUGCGCGCUCGUUGAUCACAGGACAAUUUCCAAUUAAAUGCCCUUAUCUUAGCAAGUCGCAAGUUCUGGCCAUGAAAGUUUUCCAUGAGGGCAUUCUUCUACUGCUUUCCCCAGUGCAAAGAUGAAAUUUUAACUAUGUUUCGCUGACUCGAUUAAAGCCUCUAAAAGAUUGACUUACUUGCAAUCGUGAAUUUAAGAUAGGGCAAACGUAUGAACAACAUCUUUGAGUUCUUCCACAGAACUGAAAGUUUGAAUUUUGAGAACAAAUUCCAAAAAGAGAGAAUCAGGAAUUGAACUAGAGCAAUAUAUGAAAUGUGAAAAAUGACCAACAAGUGAGUUCAAAUGCUAAUCCAAACAGCAGAUUCCGAUGAACAUCAACUGAGGAGCCAUUUGAUAAAGCUAAGGGGUUUCGUACAAUUGUUUCUGCAAUUAGAAAAUAGAGAAGAACGAAGAGAAUCAACCUGCAAGAUUCAAUGAUCGCUCCACAAUCUCAAGCAUGGAAAUACUCGAAUGAACAAGCAUGUAAGCUUCUCCCAUGCUCCGGGAAGGACACCAUAAAUAAGUUGCUUGGUACAUUGAUCUAGAAUGCCAAAAAAAAAAAAACUAAUCAGAACACAUCAAAUGUCCAUCAAGUAAAAUUCGACAAUCACAACGUUAAUAGUUGAAGAAAACACCCACAGAUCAGAUGCAAUCUUGUCUAUUCAAACACUCAAAACUGGCUCCACACUACUCUAAAGAUAUUAAAAUCCCAUCAGAAAGUUGCAAAGACAACGAAAUCCUUUUGAAAAGCAAAAGUGAAAUCGAAUCGGCUUACCUUUUUACAGCAACAUCUAGAGAGUUGAGAAGAAAGCUUCGCCAUUUUGCUCCUCUAGCUCCUGAGAUGCAAUGCGCGAGCCGCAGAGCCGAACAAGGUUAGCACGCACAACUUAUGAAGGCACAUUUAAAACUACCGUAUACACGUAAAGAUGCACGCUCGAUCGAGUUAAGCUUCAGGAAAGUCGCGCUUUGGCCCACGACCGACGGCGAGCUGAUGCUUGAAAUGAAAUCCUCUGUCCUAUCGCAAUUGACAAUUACAGACAUCUGGCGAUAGUGGACAUUGCCUCAUGUUUCAUAUUAUAUAAAACGAACUCGCACGUGCGCUCCUCUUUUUUUUAUUUAUUCAAGAAAAUCUCAGCCGUAAUUAAGUCGUCGAACGACGUCAUCAAGAAAGACACCCUCGAAAUCUCCAACGGUCGACAGGAGAUAUUUCCUCUUCAGCGACGAAAAGAUACCUUAAAUUUCGAACCAACGGUCGGCGUGCGUUCAGCUCUCGCUACAGACAAGAACAGAGACCGCCCCCCCGCCUUCUCCGACGACCUGGUCCCCACAGAUCCUUCCGCUCCAGAUCGCCGGCGUUCGUCCUCCAGCAUCGC